rnacentral:rRNA from 1 species
GGAAUCUUUCACAAUGGACGCAAGUCUGAUGGAGCAACGCCGCGUGAGUGAAGAAGGUCUUCGGAUCGUAAAACUCUGUUGUUAGAGAAGAACACGAGUGAGAGUAACUGUUCAUUCGAUGACGGUAUCUAACCAGCAAGUCACGGCUAACUACGUGCCAG